GAUGAACGCUGGCGGCGUGCUUAACACAUGCAAGUCGAACGGGAUCCCAGGAGCUUGCUCCUGGGUGAGAGUGGCGAACGGGUGAGUAAUGCGUGACCGACCUGCCCCAUACACCGGAAUAGCUCCUGGAAACGGGUGGUAAUGCCGGAUGCUCCAGUUGGAUGCAUGUCCUUCUGGGAAAGAUUCUAUCGGUAUGGGAUGGGGUCGCGUCCUAUCAGCUUGAUGGCGGGGUAACGGCCCACCAUGGCUUCGACGGGUAGCCGGCCUGAGAGGGCGACCGGCCACAUUGGGACUGAGAUACGGCCCAGACUCCUACGGGAGGCAGCAGUGGGGAAUAUUGCACAAUGGGCGCAAGCCUGAUGCAGCGACGCCGCGUGCGGGAUGACGGCCUUCGGGUUGUAAACCGCUUUUGACUGGGAGCAAGCCCUUCGGGGUGAGUGUACCUUUCGAAUAAGCACCGGC
rnacentral:rRNA from 1 species